rnacentral:rRNA from 1 species
GACGAACGCUGGCGGCGUGCUUAACACAUGCAAGUCGAACGAUGAUGCCCAGCUUGCUGGGUGGAUUAGUGGCGAACGGGUGAGUAACACGUGAGUAACCUGCCCCUGACUCUGGGAUAAGCGUUGGAAACGACGUCUAAUACUGGAUAUGACUGCCGGCCGCAUGGUCUGGUGGUGGAAAGAUUUUUUGGUUGGGGAUGGACUCGCGGCCUAUCAGCUUGUUGGUGAGGUAAUGGCUCACCAAGGCGACGACGGGUAGCCGGCCUGAGAGGGUGACCGGCCACACUGGGACUGAGACACGGCCCAGACUCCUACGGGAGGCAGCAGUGGGGAAUAUUGCACAAUGGGCGAAAGCCUGAUGCAGCAACGCCGCGUGAGGGAUGACGGCCUUCGGGUUGUAAACCUCUUUUAGUAGGGAAGAAGCGAAAGUGACGGUACCUGCAGAAAAAGCACCGGCUAACUACGUGCCAGCAGCCGCCGUAACAC